rnacentral:lncRNA from 1 species
CCGUCUACACAGAGAGCGAAUCUGAGACUGGUUAUUCCUAAUUCACAUGAAGAGGCAAGUAGUAAUAAUAUCACACCCAACUCUGUGUUACACACUCCAGUGGUAGCACUAUCAACACCUGUUGUCUAUCCUGCAGGCAUGUUUCCAAGUAAUUCUGCUGACUUAAGCCUGGCCUCGUUUAGUUGGAACCCUAAUGCUCACCCAAGCUUCACUCAUGUUGGCGGAUCAAAUUCGUCACCACCUCCACCAUCACCCUCUUUGUCGCCGCACUCUGUGAGCAUAAAAAGUGAACCGAUAUCACCUCCUCAAAAUGAGCAGCACACCUCACAUCUCCUCUCUCCUCAUCCUCUAGUGCAAGUGCCCUCAUCUGUAGCAGAAUUAAGGCAUUAUGAUGAAGGAGGUCCCCCAGCAAAAGGCUUCGAGAGAGUUGGCCCACAUAACGAAAGAAUUACUCUGCUCCAUCUCAUGAUGAGUUGGGGGCAGAUUUCAGGACAUACCACUCAAACUUUGCGGAAUUUCAUCGCAGCCAAAAGUCUGUUCUCUAUUGAAUACAAGUUGAAAAUACAUAUUUGUAAUUGUGCCAUAACAUUCCCUCUCUUCUGGUGUCUCCUCCUAUUGAGUCUCCUUUCCUUGCUCCCCCUCCCUCGUAAGUGUCAUGUACCUCUUCUCCCACCCUUUGUACUAGCAUGUCUGAAUCCCCUCGCUCUUUGCUUCCAGAUUCUGGAAUCCGAACUGUAUAUUUGUUGUAGAUGUUAUAAAUUUUAUUUUUCAAUCAAAAGAAUCACUAUUUUCUUGGAAAGUGUUUGCUGCACUUAA